rnacentral:rRNA from 1 species
AUACGGCAGGUCCGGGCGUUAUCCGGAUUUAUUGGGUUUAAAGGGAGCGCAGGCGGAGAUGCAAGCGUGACGUCAAAUUUCGGGGCUCAACCCCGUCUCGCGUCGCGAACUGCGUCCCUUGGUUGCGGGAAGGGGAGGCGGAACUCGCGGUGUAGCGGGGGAAUGCAUAGAUAUCACGAAGAACUCCGAUCGCGAAGGCAGCCUUCCGGCCCGUCAACGACGCUCAUGCUCGAAGGUGCGGGUAUCAAACAGGAUUAGAUACCCUGGUAGUCCGCACAGUAAACGAUGGACACCCGCGGUUUGGCCUGUAUGGCUGAGCCGCCAAGCGAAAGCGUUAAGUGUCCCACCUGGGGAGUACGCCGGCAACGGUGAAACUCAAAGGAAUUGGCGGGG